UUGGCUCUCGCGCCUGCCUGUCAAAGCAGGGGGGGUGUGUGCUCUGGCGGAGCGAUGACGUAGUUUCCCAGCGCCCUGGGGAAACAGCCGCGGCAGAAUAGGUGUCGCAUGCGUUGUGCGUCAUGAGCGGGGUGUGGGAUUUUCAUAGAUGUUAAGAAUUGUAACCGCCAUUGAAAAAAACUAAGGCUGAAAGUAACACAAUGGCAGCAAACCCUCCAGCACAAGGUUUUCAGAAUAAAAAUAGGGUUGCAAUUUUGGCAGAACUAGACAAGGAGAAGAGAAAGUUACUUAUGCAAAACCAGUCAUCCACAAAUCAUCCUGGAGCCAGUAUUGCACUUGCAAGACCUUCCCUUAAUAAGGAUUUCCGUGACCAUGCUGAACAACAGCACAUAGCAGCACAGCAAAAGGCUGCAUUACAGAUCUCCGAGGCGGCUCCAAAGUGGCCAGAUCCGAAGGUGGAUCGAAUAGCUGCCUACUCGCACAAGCCUAGUAGCCUAUCCCUGGUCUAGGCUGUUGGUGCAGAAGACCCAAAAUGUAAUGAGGGCCAGGACUUGGAUUCAGCUGGUGACUCCACUGAUCUUAUCCUCUCAAACUACCCCUCCUGUCUCCGGAAUCUCGACUUUCUUUUUUAAGACACCAGCAACCUAUUCAGACUUGUUCCCGCUAUGGGAGUGGAGACAUUCUCCAUCUUGGAUCAGCGCUCCUUGAUACUAAGCAUGCAAGGGUGACUGAAAAUCAUGUCAGUGCUGCUAGUGAUCCCCACAUCUCAUGAGGGACUGACAGUUCUCAAGAGCUGUUUUGUGACUUACAUGAGCUGCAGGGACCCCCCUUCUGAAUACAGAUAUACUCUCUAGAGUUUUCUGUAAUGACCAGCAAAGGUAGUCAGAAGCAGUGCCGUGGCAAGGAAGUUUGGCGCCUGGGGCAAAGCCCGCAGCAGCAGCCCACCUUUGCCCCAGGCAUGGAUCUCCCCCUCCCAGCCUGGGAGUGCACGCAGUGGUGGGAGCUGCCCUUCCCCGUAUCCCCAUGCACCUCCCACCCAUAUGAGCUGCUUGUGGCUCCAUCCCACACCCCGCCCCGGCUGGACAGCACCUGUUCGCUGCCCCUUUGCUUCGGUGGUUGCCCUGCUCACCCCUGCCCUUGCGACGGCACUGGUCAGAAGACAAGUAAAUUAGGAGAUUUCACAAGCUGCCAGCAAAAAGAAGGCAGCUUCAGGGAGUUUCUGCAUCUUUGUUCAAGUGCACCCCAGAACCUUCCCUGUACCACCCAUUUAGAGAAUGAUAGCCUCUCCCUGGGAAGGUAUUGCCUCUCUCUCUUUUAAUGUGGGGAGUAUGAAUGAAAAAGAGCAUGGGUUUCAGUCACUCAGGGGUGAAAAAUUAUUGCAGCAGUGGAAGUCUGAAAUAUGAUACAAGAUUAUUGGUUCUGCUCUCCUCUAUCAAGUAGUCCUUUCAGCCAAGCUCACUCAGGCAUUGAAUUAUGCAAGGCAGCUACCUGCUCUCAAUCUGUUAUCAUUAAGCACUGUAAUCUGGAUGCUCUAGCAUCAGCAGACACUGCUUUUGGUACAAAGAGGAUUUAUUUUAUUUUAAACUCCAGUUCUUGUUAUUAAAAAAAAACAAA